rnacentral:lncRNA from 1 species
UAAUGCUACAGCUAACCUUCUAUUUAUAGAUGUGAGAAUGAGCCCUAAAGGCCUUAGGCCCAUGAACUCUAAUAAUUGAACUUAGGCCCUUUAAUGCCUUAAUACACUUUAAUCUUGACUUGACUCAUCUGCGCUGUCCUUCGUUGCCCAUGUUGAGCAGUUCCCUUGAGAUACACAGGCGAGUCUGUGCUACCGAGUAACUUGAGUAGUCUGCGCUGCCAAGUUCGUUACUUCGUCUGCGCCGCCAAGUUCGUUUCUUCGUCUGCGCCGCCAAGUUCAUUUCUUCGUCUGCGCUGCCAAGUUCAUUUCUUCGUCUGCGCUGCCAAGUUC